rnacentral:rRNA from 1 species
UGGGGAAUAUUGGACAAUGGGCGCAAGCCUGAUCCAGCCAUGCCGCGUGAGUGACGAAGGCCUUAGGGUUGUAAAGCUCUUUUUGGCGGGGAAGAUAAUGACGGUACCCGCAGAAUAAGCUCCGGCUAACUUCGUGCCAGCAGCCGCGGUAAUACGAAGGGAGCUAGCGUUGUUCGGAAUCACUGGGCGUAAAGCGCACGUAGGUGGGCAGUUAAGUCAGGGGUGAAAGCCCGAGGCUCAACCUCGGAAUUGCCUCUGAUACUGGCUGUCUAGAGUUCGAGAGAGGUGAGUGGAAUUCCUAGUGUAGAGGUGAAAUUCGUAGAUAUUAGGAAGAACACCGGUGGCGAAGGCGGCUCACUGGCUCGAUACUGACACUGAGGUGCGAAAGCGUGGGGAGCAAACAGGAUUAGAUACCCACGUAGUCCCUGAGCGGGCUGGCAAGGCGCAU